GAUGAACGCUGGCGGCGUGCCUAAUACAUGCAAGUCGAGCGAACGGACGAGAAGCUUGCUUCUCUGAUGUUAGCGGCGGACGGGUGAGUAACACGUGGAUAACCUACCUAUAAGACUGGGAUAACUUCGGGAAACCGGAGCUAAUACCGGAUAAUAUUUUGAACCGCAUGGUUCAAAAGUGAAAGACGGUCUUGCUGUCACUUAUAGAUGGAUCCGCGCUGCAUUAGCUAGUUGGUAAGGUAACGGCUUACCAAGGCAACGAUGCAUAGCCGACCUGAGAGGGUGAUCGGCCACACUGGAACUGAGACACGGUCCAGACUCCUACGGGAGGCAGCAGUAGGGAAUCUUCCGCAAUGGGCGAAAGCCUGACGGAGCAACGCCGCGUGAGUGAUGAAGGUCUUCGGAUCGUAAAACUCCGUUAUUAGGGAAGAACAUAUGUGUAAGUAACUGUGCACAUCUUGACGGUACCUAAUCAGAAAGCCACGGCUAACUACGUGCCAGCAGCCGCGGUAAUACGUAGGUGGCAAGCGUUAUCCGGAAUUAUUGGGCGUAAAGCGCGCGUAGGCGGUUUUUUAAGUCUGAUGUGAAAGCCCACGGCUCAACCGUGGAGGGUCAUUGGAAACUGGAAAACUUGAGUGCAGAAGAGGAAAGUGGAAUUCCAUGUGUAGCGGUGAAAUGCGCAGAGAUAUGGAGGAACACCAGUGGCGAAGGCGACUUUCUGGUCUGUAACUGACGCUGAUGUGCGAAAGCGUGGGGAUCAAACAGGAUUAGAUACCCUGGUAGUCCACGCCGUAAACGAUGAGUGCUAAGUGUUAGGGGGUUUCCGCCCCUUAGUGCUGCAGCUAACGCAUUAAGCACUCCGCCUGGGGAGUACGACCGCAAGGUUGAAACUCAAAGGAAUUGACGGGGACCCGCACAAGCGGUGGAGCAUGUGGUUUAAUUCGAAGCAACGCGAAGAACCUUACCAAAUCUUGACAUCCUUUGACAACUCUAGAGAUAGAGCCUUCCCCUUCGGGGGGGCAAAGUGACAGGUGGUGCAUGGUUGUCGUCAGCUCGUGUCGUGAGAUGUUGGGUUAAGUCCCGCAACGAGCGCAACCCUUAAGCUUAGUUGCCAUCAUUAAGUUGGGCACUCUAAGUUGACUGCCGGUGACAAACCGGAGGAAGGUGGGGAUGACGUCAAAUCAUCAUGCCCCUUAUGAUUUGGGCUACACACGUGCUACAAUGGACAAUACAAAGGGCAGCGAAACCGCGAGGUCAAGCAAAUCCCAUAAAGUUGUUCUCAGUUCGGAUUGUAGUCUGCAACUCGACUACAUGAAGCUGGAAUCGCUAGUAAUCGUAGAUCAGCAUGCUACGGUGAAUACGUUCCCGGGUCU
rnacentral:rRNA from 1 species